GGCCGGCGUUUAGUGGUGUCAACUUAUUAAUUUCCAUCUUCGACUUCAGGCCUGUUAGUUUCCUGUCUGAAAGCAUUAUUACUUUUGUCCAUGUGGCAAAAUAAUUAGCAUACAGAUGAGCAGCGGCCGGGCGUCUGAGCGCCGGUGGAGGAAGAUGUGCAGUGCAAAGUUGAUUGGAUGAAUGCAGAACGAACGGUGGGCGUUCGGGAGCAUUACAAGAGUUCUGGAGUCCUGGAGCAGGGUGCGGGAUUUUCUGGAGACGCUCACGCGGGGGCCGAGGCCAAGGUGCACGCAGCGGCCGUCUGGACACCUGUGCGAUCUGCGCCGACGUCUGAGGAGCCGUCGAGUGUGAAAAUGAGCCCAAGGGAGACUUGGUGAAGUCACGUCGAGGGGCAUCUCCAACCCUGACCUCCUGAGGAAGCAGAUCGGAUCCAAGGAGCACCCAGGCGACCGA